GGAGAUGUGACUCAGUGAUAGAGCUCUUGUCUAGCAUGAGACUCUGGGUUCAAUUUCCAGCAUUUCAA
rnacentral:tRNA from 1 species